GAUGAACGCUGGCGGCGUGCCUAAUACAUGCAAGUCGAGCGAAUGGAUUAAGAGCUUGCUCUUAUGAAGUUAGCGGCGGACGGGUGAGUAACACGUGGGUAACCUGCCCAUAAGACUGGGAUAACUCCGGGAAACCGGGGCUAAUACCGGAUAACAUUUUGAACCGCAUGGUUCGAAAUUGAAAGGCGGCUUCGGCUGUCACUUAUGGAUGGACCCGCGUCGCAUUAGCUAGUUGGGGAGGUAACGGCUCACCAAGGCAACGAUGCGUAGCCGACAUGAGAGGGUGCUCGGCCACACUGGGGCUGAGACACGGCCCAGACUCCUGCGGGAGGCAGCAGUAGGGAAUCUUCCGCAAUGGACGAAAGUCUGACGGAGCAACGCCGCGUGAGUGAUGAAGGCUUUCGGGUCGUAAAACUCUGUUGUUAGGGAAGAACAAGUGCUAGUUGAAUAAGCUGGCACCUUGACGGUACCUAACCAGAAAGCCACGGCUAACUACGUGCCAGCCGCCGCAGUAA
rnacentral:rRNA from 1 species